GUCCUUGUAGCGCAAUGGAUAGUGCGUUGGACUUCUAAUCCAAAGGUUGUUGGUUUGAAUCCAACCUGGGAUG
rnacentral:tRNA from 1 species